GAAACCGAAGCUAAUACCGGAUAGGAUCUUCUCCUUCAUGGGAGAUGAUUGAAAGAUGGUUUCGGCUAUCACUUACAGAUGGGCCCGCGGUGCAUUAGCUAGUUGGUGAGGUAACGGCUCACCAAGGCAACGAUGCAUAGCCGACCUGAGAGGGUGAUCGGCCACACUGGGACUGAGACACGGCCCAGACUCCUACGGGAGGCAGCAGUAGGGAAUCUUCCGCAAUGGACGAAAGUCUGACGGAGCAACGCCGCGUGAGUGAUGAAGGCUUUCGGGUCGUAAAACUCUGUUGUUAGGGAAGAACAAGUACAAGAGUAACUGCUUGUACCUUGACGGUACCUAACCAGAAAGCCACGGCUAACUACGUGCCAGCAGCCGCGGUAAUACGUAGGUGGCAAGCGUUAUCCGGAAUUAUUGGGCGUAAAGCGCGCGCAGGCGGUUUCUUAAGUCUGAUGUGAAAGCCCACGGCUCAACCGUGGAGGGUCAUUGGAAACUGGGGAACUUGAGUGCAGAAGAGAAAAGCGGAAUUCCACGUGUAGCGGUGAAAUGCGUAGAGAUGUGGAGGAACACCAGUGGC
rnacentral:rRNA from 2 species